rnacentral:rRNA from 1 species
GACGAACGCUGGCGGCGUGCUUAACACAUGCAAGUCGAACGGUAAGGCCCCAGCUUGCUGGGGUACACGAGUGGCGAACGGGUGAGUAACACGUGGGUGACCUGCCCUGCACUUCGGGAUAAGCCUGGGAAACUGGGUCUAAUACCGGAUAGGACCAUGGUGUGGGUACUGUGGUGGAAAGUUUUUUCGGUGUGGGAUGGGCCCGCGGCCUAUCAGCUUGUUGGUGGGGUAAUGGCCUACCAAGGCGGCGACGGGUAGCCGGCCUGAGAGGGUGGACGGCCACAUUGGGACUGAGACACGGCCCAGACUCCUACGGGAGGCAGCAGUGGGGAAUAUUGCACAAUGGGCGGAAGCCUGAUGCAGCGACGCCGCGUGGGGGAUGACGGCCUUCGGGUUGUAAACUCCUUUCACCAUCGACGAAGGGUUUCUGACGGUAGAUGGAGAAGAAGCACCGGCUAACUACGUGCCAGCAGCCGCGGUAAUACGUAGGGUGCGAGCGUUGUCCGGAAUUACUGGGCGUAAAGAGCUCGUAGGUGGUUUGUCGCGUCGUCUGUGAAAUUCCGGGGCUUAACUCCGGGCGUGCAGGCGAUACGGGCAUAACUUGAGUACUGUAGGGGAGACUGGAAUUCCUGGUGUAGCGGUGAAAUGCGCAGAUAUCAGGAGGAACACCGGUGGCGAAGGCGGGUCUCUGGGCAGUAACUGACGCUGAGGAGCGAAAGCAUGGGGAGCGAACAGGACUAGAUACCCUGGUAGUCCAUGCCGUAAACGGUGGGCGCUAGGUGUGGGUUUCCUUCCACGGGAUCCGUGCCGUAGCUAACGCAUUAAGCGCCCCGCCUGGGGAGUACGGCCGCAAGGCUAAAACUCAAAGGAAUUGACGGGGGCCCGCACAAGCGGCGGAGCGUGUGGAUUAAUUCGAUGCAACGCGAAGAACCUUACCUGGGCUUGACAUAUACAGGAUCGCGCCAGAGAUGGUGUUUCCCUUGUGGCUUGUAUACAGGUGGUGCAUGGUUGUCGUCAGCUCGUGUCGUGAGAUGUUGGGUUAAGUCCCGCAACGAGCGCAACCCUUGUCUUAUGUUGCCAGCACGUUGUGGUGGGGACUCGUAAGAAACUGCCGGGGUUAACUCGGAGGAAGGUGGGGAUGACGUCAAAUCAUCAUGCCCCUUAUGUCCAGGGCUUCACACAUGCUACAAUGGUCGGUACAGUGGGUUGCCAGUCCGUGAGGGCGAGCUAAUCCCGUAAAGCCGGUCUCAGUUCGGAUCGGGGUCUGCAACUCGACCCCGUGAAGUCGGAGUCGCUAGUAAUCGCAGAUCAGCAACGCUGCGGUGAAUACGUUCCCGGGCCU